GGCGGCCUGGCCCCGGGGGCCUCUGCCGUGUGGCACCGCGGCCCCUGUGCCCUAGGCUGAGUGCCCCGCGGCUCAUGCCCCUUUGCCUCUGGCCUGGCAGCUCCCCUCUAACGCAGAGAGACGUGUCCCCUGUGGCGGGCGGGGGGCGGCUGUUUGCAGGAGGUUCGGGGGAAGGCGGAAUACAAGUCAAAGACAAAGGAGAAGCUAAGGCCUCUAGCCAGGUAUCAUCAAAGUUGAUUGACAAUCACCAGUCAAGUGGCCACUCUUUGGCAAGGAAGGAGAGCAGGAACAGAUGGAUCUGCAUUUUAGCAAGCAACAGCAUGGAACCUCUUUCACCAUGAGACUGUGGGAUGGAACUUUAUCUUGGGGAAACACUCAGGAAAACAGGGCUUUGAAGCUGUGCUCUGGCUCUGCUCCAGCUCCAGGCAAAAACCUGCAGCUUCACUGCUCCGCGCUCCGCUCCAAAGCCCUGCAAGAAAAUGCUUUUCAAAGGAUGACUGGACUACAAAACGGAGGGGCAAAAACACCCCAGCAUCUCUUUCUCUUGCUCCCUUUCACCUAAGAAGACAAAAGAACCAGCCCAGCCGUUUGACUUUGGGGGUGUUCCUGAUCUGAGAAUCUGGUUAGCAAUGUUGCUUGGAACCUGUAAUAAGGAUUUUACCUUGAACCAAGUCUAGUUUGGUAAGUUUUAGCUAAUAUAAAGUGUUUUAACUUUAUUUCUCUUGUAACCAUUUCUGAUUUUAAUACCUUAUUCUUGUACUCACUGAAAAUCACUUUUUGUAGUUAAACAAACUUGUUUUAUUUUUUAAUCAAAAUAAAUCCAGUGUUGUGUUGUAUAUUGACCCCUUAUGGGAGCAACAGACUUCUAAUAUCUGAACAGUCUAGGAGAGGGCGGGACAGUGCAGAGCACAUGCUUUUCGGGAAAAUUCAGUAGCUGGGCGUGUGUGGAGGUCAUCCUACAGGUAGUAACCCAGGCUGCUGGAAGCCAGAAUGUGGUUGGUAUGUUGCUGAUACUGGAGUCCACAUUGCUGAACCAGGGCUGUGGCUAUACCACGAUACUCAGGGUGUGACCUGCAUGCUGUUUAUGAAUAGCCCAGGUUGGGUGCCACAACAGCAAAGCACUGUGAGGCACCCAACAUUGCAGGGAAGGUGGUGAUGCAAUCUCUCACUGGUCUAGACUGCACCCCAGCAUGUUACAGGCCAACUCCUAUUUAGAUGCCUGAAUAACUGCUGAAAAAUUGGCACCUAUCUGGGAACUGUACUCUUUGAAACACGCCUCUGUAUUUUCAGACAGCAGGGAGGGACUGUGGUACCUUAGGUACAAAAACAAGUGUGUGUAAUCUGGGACAAUAUCUUCUUGUGUAACUUCCAGAUUGCUUGUCUAUCUUCUUUCUUUUUUUGCCCUUAGAACUUGUGGUAUUUAAACUGCAUUUACCACUGUGAUGUUUGACCACCUUAUUUUAAAAGAUUUUUUCAGGGCUUUGGAGCUGUGCUCCGGCUCCACUCCAACUCCAGGCUAAAACCUGCAGCUCCACUGCUCUGGAGCUGCUCUACGCCCCAGCUCCGGGCUCCACUCCAAAGCCCUGGAUUUUUUCUUCCUUUUUUCUCUCUAUCCACUGAUAGUGGGGAAUUUUUUUUAAGCAGUGGAAAAGUUAGCUCAGAGAAAUAGAUUUUACAUUUCGGUUUGAAAUGUAUUUUCUAGUUCUUACUCCAGUUCCUAUUUUAAUCUUCCAGUGUCAACCUCUCUUUGGCCUUAUUUGCAUGUAAAGAGCUUGUCUACAUGAGGAGUUGCACAAGUUUAAAAGCCGAGCUACAUACAGCCUUGCCGUGGAAUAACAAAAUAUGUGAAUUAAAAAUAUUUUAGUUA